GGCGCACAGACGUGCGUCCCUCAAAAGAAAAAACGAAAAGAGGCAUUCUAUUGACCCCCGAGAGAAGAAAAAAUGGAAAAAGGGGAGUUGUCAUUUUUUUUUCAUAAGAAAAAAAUUUAGAUCUACGAAAAUCUAACCGUCUAAACUCAAAUUCGACUUCGGAAAUGUGAUCUAUGCGUAAGGAUUUACGUUUUCACCGAUCAUUUUAAGGUAAAACACUAAACUCACGAUUUUGUAAUUUUGGGUCAAUUACAAAAUCUUGAGUUUAAUGUUUUACCUUAAAAUGAUCGGUGAAAACGUAGAUCCUUACGCGUAGAUCACGUUUCCGAAGUCGGAUUUGAGUUUGGAUGGUUGGAUCUUCGUAGAUCUAAGUUUCUUUCUUAUGAAAGAAUGAGAACCCUCUCCUGUCCAAACUCAAAUCCGACUUCGGAAACGUGAGCAACGCGAAAGGAUGUACGUUUCUUCGAUUAUUUUAAGGUAAUGGAUUACUUGGAAUUUGCUUAAAGUUACCCAAGUCAUGGGUUUUGGUUUGGUGAAAUUUUGGUAAGUUUUUCUCAAAUCCUAACUUUUGGGUAUUUAAUUUAUGGUUCGUGUCCUACUUGGCACAUGUAUUUGCUGAGCCUGUAUUUUGGUAUGUAAUUAUAAUAAUAUGUUUUAUAAGAUCUAACUAGAUAAACAUGUAAAUGACUCUUGUUGUAAUUAACUGUUAUGUAUUCGAUGUAUUUCCGUUUUUGAUA